rnacentral:lncRNA from 1 species
GAACAAAUCUUUUCUGCAAAGCAACAAUGGAUUCUCCGAGUUGCAUUAUGAACAUUUCGUAUUCUUGACUCAAUGUGUUUAAUCUGGAUCUUUUAACUUCAGUGGUUCCUUCGUGAGUCUCCACCAAAGUAUCCCAUAUUUCUUUUGCAGAUUUGCAUUGAGAUAUGCGGAAGAACUCGUCCAUACUUAAUUCACUUUGAAGAAUAUUGAUGGCUUUCUUCUCAAUAAGUAUUCUCUUCUUAUCGUCUUCAUCAUAGGAGCUUUUGAUCUUU